rnacentral:lncRNA from 1 species
AAAGAGCAUUUAUGAGGUUCAGCUACCCUUUUUGUAAGUUUUGAAGGACUAAAACUCAGUUGUUAAACACAUACCGGUUCGGGAAGUAAGCAUCACCUUAGUUGCUUCCCCAACUCGAGGUGAAAAGUUCCAAAAUUUCCAUUUUUACACAGUGAGUUAAGCAUGGCUAUCCAAAGCUUUGAGAAACUUCUUUUUCCAUCUUUUAACCUAUUUUCAUGUUAGUUUAGUUUACAACACCUUCAUCUUUUUAUGUUUUCAUCUUAACCUAAUUUUUAUUAAGAAAA